rnacentral:rRNA from 1 species
UGAAUACGAGAUGCUACGGCGUCGAAGCAGUCUAUGUCAUACUUCCAAGAAAAGCUUGCACUGUCAUAAACAAAUAAUGCCUGUACCAUAACCGACACAGGUGGGUAGGUAGAGUAUACUAAGGGGCGCGAGAUAACUCUCUCUAAGGAACUCGGCAAAAUGACUCCGUAACUUCGGGAGAAGGAGUGCCUUAUUUUAUAAGGUUGCAAUAACAAGAUCCAAGCAACUGUUUACCAAAAACACAGGUCUCCGCUAAGUCGUAAGACGAUGUAUGGGGGCUGACGCCUGCCCAGUGCCAGAAGGUUAAAGAAGUUGGUUAGCAUCCGCGAAGCUGAUAACUGAAGCCCUGGUGAACGGCGGCCGUAACAAUAACGGUCCUAAGGUAGCGAAAUUCCUUGUCGGGUAAGUUCCGACCCGCACGAAAGGCGUAAUGAUUUGGAUACUGUCUCAGAGAGGGGCUCGGUGAAAUAGACUUGUCUGUGAAGAUGCGGACUACCUGCACCAGGACAGAAAGACCCUAUGAAGCUUUACUGUAACUUGAAAUUGAAAUUGGACUUUACUUGCGCAGUAUAGGUGGGAGGCGUUGAGAACAUUCUUGCGGGAAUGUUGGAGCCAUCAGUGAGAUACCACUCUUGUAAUGUUAGAUUUCUAACUUUGUAUCAUUAUCUGGUCAAAGGACAGUUUCAGGCGGGCAGUUUGACUGGGGCGGUCGCCUCCCAAACGGUAACGGAGGCGCACAAAGGUUUCCUCUGAACGGGUAGAAAUCGUAUCUAGAGUGUAAAGGCAUAAGGAAGCUUGACUGUGAGACCUACAAGUCGAGCAGGGACGAAAGUCGGUCUUAGUGAUCUGACGGUGCUGAGUGGAAAGGCCGUCACUCAACGGAUAAAAGUUACUCUAGGAUAACAGGCUGAUCUCCCCCAAGAGUUCACAUCGACGGGGAGGUUUGGCACCUCGAUGUCGGCUCAUCGCAUCCUGGGGCGGUAGUACGUCCCAAGGGUUGGGCUGUUCGCCCAUGAAAGCGGUACGCGAGCUGGGUUCAGAACGUCGUGAGACAGUUCGGUCCAUAUCCGGUGUAGGCGUUAGAAUAUUGAGAGGAGCCUUCUUUAGUACGAGAGGACCGAGAAGGACAUACCUCUGGUGUACCAGUUAUCGUGCCAACGGUAAACGCUGGGUAGCUAUGUAUGGAGUGGAUAACCGCUGAAAGCAUCUAAGUGGGAAGCCCACCUCAAGAUAAG